rnacentral:rRNA from 1 species
UGGGGAAUAUUGCACAAUGGAGGGAACUCUGAUGCAGCGACGCCGCGUGAGUGAAGAAGGUCUUCGGAUCGUAAAACUCUGUCCUUGGUGAAGAUAAUGACGGUAACCAAGGAGGAAGCCCCGGCUAACUACGUG